rnacentral:rRNA from 1 species
GAUGAACGCUAGCGGCAGGCUUAAUACAUGCAAGUCGAGGGGCAGCAUGACUGUAGCAAUACAGUUGAUGGCGACCGGCAAACGGGUGCGGAACACGUACAGAACCUUCCUUCGAGCGGGGAAUAGCCCAGAGAAAUUUGGAUUAAUACCCCAUAGUACAACGGAGUGGCAUCACUUUGUUGUUAAAGAUUUAUCACUUGAAGAUGGCUGUGCGGCUGAUUAGGUAGUUGGCGGGGUAACGGCCCACCAAGCCUGCGAUCAGUAACUGGUGUGAGAGCACGACCAGUCACACGGGCACUGAGACACGGGCCCGACUCCUACGGGAGGCAGCAGUAAGGAAUAUUGGUCAAUGGACGAAAGUCUGAACCAGCCAUGCCGCGUGGAGGAUGAAGGUCCUCUGGAUUGUAAACUUCUUUUAUAUGGGACGAAAAAAGGGUUUUCUAACUCGUCUGACGGUACCAUAUGAAUAAGCACGGCUAACUCCGUGCCAGCAG